rnacentral:rRNA from 1 species
UACGAAGGGGGCUAGCGUUGCUCGGAAUUACUGGGCGUAAAGGGCGCGUAGGCGGAUAGUUCAGUCGGGGGUGAAAGCCCGGGGCUCAACCUCGGAACUGCCUUCGAUACUGGCUAUCUUGAGUACGGGAGAGGUGUGUGGAACUCCGAGUGUAGAGGUGAAAUUCGUAGAUAUUCGGAAGAACACCAGUGGCGAAGGCGACACACUGGCCCGUUACCGACGCUGAGGAGCGAAAGCGUGGGGAGCAAACAGG